rnacentral:rRNA from 1 species
UACAGAGGGUGCAAGCGUUGUUCGGAAUCAUUGGGCGUAAAGGGCGUGUAGGCGGUCUGUUAAGUCAUGUGUGAAAUCCCUCGGCUCAACCGGGGAACGACGCAUGAAACUGGCAAGCUAGAGUACCAAAGAGGGUGGUGGAAUUCCCGGUGUAGCGGUGAAAUGCGCAGAUAUCAGGAGGAACACCGGUGGCGAAGGCGGGUCUCUGGGCCGUAACUGACGCUGAGGAGCGAAAGCAUGGGGAGCGAACAGG